UUUUGUUCAAAGUGUUACUCAAAAUCGCUAUCUUUGUUUUUACAGGAAAAUAGUUGUAGUAGCUCACCUAUAUUUGAUCGAUCAAAGUAAGUGAUUCCUAGGUUGCUGAGGUCAAUGUAAGGAUUAGAGAUAGAGACGAAUGGAUUACAACUGCUUGUGAAGGCAUGGAAGCAAAGAUCCAAUAUUACGGGGCUGAUUAAGAUUUUCGAGGUGUAUAUCUAGAGGCUCGGAUGAUGAGAUUUGAGGUGAAGAACAGGCGACAUUCAAUUAUACCCACGUAUUAUAGUGUAUUAUAAAUCAUUGGGCAAAGUGAGUAAAAACACUUGCGUGAAUUGUAAAGAUUUUUCUUUGAGGCAUAUUCUCUCCAAACUUUGUCUUGCUCAUGUUCUACCAUAUUAUGUCCAUUUUCACUUAAGUUUCAGAUGCAGUAAUUUAACAUUAAGGUUAAAUUCGUGGUUGGGUUAAAGGCUGAGUUAUUGUGAUUCCUCUGAUGGGUGGAAACUUUGAGUCAAGGGACCACAUAGCAUAAUCUUAUGCAUCUUUAUUCUUGAUAUCUCAAUUCUA
rnacentral:lncRNA from 1 species